GAUUGUCCCAGCCGCCGCGGUAAUACGGAGGGUGCAAGCGUUAAUCGGAAUUACUGGGCGUAAAGCGCACGCAGGCGGUUGGAUAAGUUAGAUGUUGAAAGCCCCGGGCUCAACCUGGGAAUUGCAUUUAAAACUGUCCAGCUAGAGUCUUGUUAUAGGGGGGUAGAAUUUCAGGUGUAGCGGUGAAAUGCGUAUAGAUCUGGAGGAAUACCGGUGGCGAAGGCCGCCCCCUGGACAAAGACUGACGCUCAGGUGCGAAAGCGUGGGGAGCAAACAGGAUUAGAUACCCUGGUAGUUCACGCCGUAAACGAUGUCUAUCUUGGAGGCUGUGUCCUUGAGACGUGGCUUCCCGAGCUACCCCUUAAAAUCGACCGCCUAGGGAGUACCCGCCGCAUGUUAAAACUCCAAUUGACUUGAUGGGGGCCCGCACUAGCGGUCGUACAUGUGGUUCAAUUCUGAUGCCACCC
rnacentral:rRNA from 1 species